CCAAUAGCGUAUAUUAAAGUUGUUGCAGUUAAAAAGCUCGUAGUUGAAUUUCGGGAUCAGUACGUUGGUCAUGCCUUGGUAUGUACUGGUGUCACUGAUUCCUUCCUUCUGACGAACCGUUAUGCCAUUAAUUUGGUGUGGCGGGAAAUCAGAACUGUUACUUUGAAAAAAUUAGAGUGUUUAAAGCAGGCUCGCGCUUGAAUACAUUAGCAUGGAAUAA
rnacentral:rRNA from 1 species